GUCCACGCCCUAAACGAUGAUGACUAGUUGUUGGAGGAGUUAAAUCCUUUAGUAACGCAGCUAACGCGUGAAGUCAUCCGCCUGGGGAGUACGGUCGCAAGAUUAAAACUCAAAGGAAUUGACGGGGCCCGCACAAGCGGUGGAUGAUGUGGUUUAAUUCGAUGCAACGCGAAAAACCUUACCUACCCUUGACAUGUCAGGAAUCCUGCAGAAAAUGCAGGAGUGCCCGAAAGGGAACCUGAACACAGGUGCUGCAUGGCUGUCGU
rnacentral:rRNA from 1 species